UGCGGCACUGCCUUACAGCUCAACCGAGUGCUGCAUUCCCGAUGCCUGUCUUAGAUGUCAAGCUGAAAACAAACAAGAAGAUUGUGUUGUGGUUUGGGGAGAAUGCAAUCAUUCCUUCCACAAUUGCUG